rnacentral:rRNA from 1 species
CCUGAUCGAGCCAUGCCGCGUGAGCGAUGAAGGCCUUAGGGUUGUAAAGCUCUUUCAGCGAGGAAGAUAAUGACGGUACU